GGGCAGCUGGCGAGGCCUUGGCUCGGGCUGGGGGGGAUUAGCACUUCUUGUGUCACAGUGACACCUUACCCGGCCCCCUCGCGGAGCCAACCGCUGCUCGGCCCAAGAUUGAAGAUUAGCCCGCGGGCUGGAGUUUAGACUUUAGUCGAAGAACGUGGUGGCCGAGGUGGGUGGAAGGGACGAGAGCUCCGGCAGGCUCUCCAGAGGGCAGGGCCAGGUGACUCCGGGGAGUGACCCCCGGGUGGGGUCAGGUUCAGCCGUGGCCGGCUCGGUGGGCAGGGCGGGCGGUGGCGAAAAGGUGCCCGUUGGGGAGGGGUUGAAUGUCCGCAGGCCCCUGCCCUGUCUUGACCCUCCUUCUCCAGGGACAGGCAGGACAGGCAUCUGUGGGCAGACGUCGCGUUCUGACUCGGGCAUCACGGAGUCGCCCAGAUGCCUGGCUGGGCCGUUGGCAGCUGGGGGAGAUAAAGGGACAGGCUCCUGCCGGGGACAAGCACGCCGGGCUCACGUCCUGUCUGCUGCUAACCUGUUGCGUUUUCCUGGAGCUGAGGAUCCUGAGACUCCAAGAAGGAACCUAGGUCUUUAUAGAUAUUUCCUGGCCCCUCCUAAACCACCAGCAAGCUCACUCUGGGGACUUGUGUUUAUCACCCUUCCCAGGAGGGUCUGGCUAAGAGGAGCCCACGGGGGGCCUCGCUGACCAUAAGAUUCCUGAGUGUUGUGGUGGGGUGCAGGCACUGUCCUGUCUACACCAGGGAGGUUUGGGGUUCCAAAGUCUGGGCCUAGAAACAGAAAGCAUCUCUCCCAGGGCUCCUGUCAGACGCUGGACCUGCGAUGUGAAGGCAUCUGAAGUUCCUGGCAGGUGGCCCUGAUGCCUCAAGAGAGGCAGAGACCGGUCUCUGCAGCAAGUGACACACUUUUUCCCCCAGGCUCAGAGGGAGGCUCCCACAGCCCCUUGGGCCCUGGGCCCCACCCUGGCCCAAAUCUAGGUGGAGACCUUUGUUGGCAUGGAGAUUCCUCAGAAAAAUAGGGAAAGAGGAGGCAGGAAGCGGUUGGGGUGAGUCAGGGGGUGUCCCCCGGGGGCAUGGUGGGGACAACUUUCUUCUCACUGAGUCAGGGCUUAGGAUACGCCCUGGAGAGAUCACGGGCCUCUGUCCAGCCUGGAGGAUCCCGGGUGGUUCUAAGAGCCAAACCUCGAUUUUGACCCAAAGUGAAGAGUGUCGGAGGCAGGGGUCGGUGGCCCCGUCUGACCCUGCCCUAGCCAGAGGCUGACGCGCUUCAUGCCAGCAGCCUAGCCUGUGUGGCCCAGUCCAUGUGUGAAACAGGGACCGCAGGGCGUGGCUGGGCGCUGGGAAACGAAAGACGCUCAUAGCCAGCUCUCUUAUUCUUCUCCUGACUCCCUCACCCAUGCUCCCUGUUAACCAGACUGGGGCCGCUGGGGGCCCCCCAGGGGCUGAGUCAACCAACCAGCUCCCUACCCCUGGACCGACCAAGGCCCCUGGCGGGGAAGAUAAGCCCCACGCACAGCUGCCCGCGAUAUGGGGCAGGAGGCAGUUGUGAUAAGAGGUGUCAGGGCGGAAGAGAACGUCUGCUUUUGAGCAAUGGGGAGGGCCAGGAAGGCUUCAGGGAGGAGGUGCCACAGGAGCCUGAAUGGCCCAGGAAAGGGGCUUCCAGGCGGAGAAAGGGUGUGAGCACAGGCAAGGUGGCAAUGGGAGGUCAGGGUGGCCGAUGGGUGGGGGAACCCGUGGGAGGCUGCGGCUCUGGAGAGUGGAGGGCUGGGGUUCGGGCCAGGGUCUCCCUGUGUCCUAGAGGGGACUGGAUGCCUGGCGGUCCCCCAGCCGGUGAUUUCAGCACCACCCCGGCAGGGGGGUGUUGCGGGCUCAGGCCUUCUCUCUUCGGGGUCUUCUCUCAGCCCUGCUGAUUCUGGGCCUGAGCCUGGGGACCGCUUCUCUCUGCUACAUCGGGGCCUGACCUCAGCCCUAAACUCUCCCCUUCCUCAGUUUCCUGAGGCUCGGUUUCCCCAACCACAGGGUGGGCGGGUCGUCCCUUCCCUGUUGGCCCCUGUCGCCUACAUGGGCCCCGAGUUCUUCCAGGGUUGAGGGCCCCCCGCUCCCCGACCUCUGCAGCCUCCUCCAGGGCUGGGGUGGCUUAGGGAAAGGAAAGCCAGUUUUCAGAUGGACGUGCCCGGAGAGGGGGCUGGGGGCUGGGUGGUGUGCCAUAGCCGGGACCUAUAAUUACUGUUUCCAGCCAGAACCAGAUGAGGGGGAGGGCGUAGAGAGGCAGGAGCUUUGUGGUGGAGACUUCCCUCACCACGGAAAAUUCUGAGGCAGUUUCCCCUGUGAGGGCCCUUGGAGCAGCCUCGCCAGCCCUAUGCGGCCCACCCCAGAGCUCGGCCCUAACCAGGGCUCAAUCUGGCAGCCCCUGCUCUGAAAGCGCAAUGCCCUGCGAGGGGACGUGCCCCGCUGGAGCGCUCAGUCUGCGGGGACUCGCCUCCCCGCCCCGGCCCCCAGGGCACAGCCUCCUGCUCACACUGCUCAGUGCGGACGACUCCAUGGAGCACCCCCACCCAACCUGAGCUCAGCCCGAGUGCUCCCCACUUUCUCUGGGGCCCCACCCAGUGGGGGUUCCUUCAGCAUUAGCCACCAGGGCUUCCCCCAGGCGGGUCAAACUUGCCUCAUGCCCACACUGUGGGGACUGGCUCAGGGAAGCUUUCCCGAAGAGCCCCCUGUUUUUGCUGGCGGUGCCUCCCUGGGGGCCGUGGUCCCUGCCCUCUGGAAGCACCAGUGGGUCUGGGGUCUCCUGAAUGGCCAGGUCUGAGUCAACACGCUUGCAGGUGUGGGGAGGAAAAUGUCAUGGCCAUUGUCCCCCACCAGCCAGGGCUCCUCCCCGGAAUGGUGUUGGGGGACGCUCCUUGCCCCACACUGGUGCUUAGGGGGAUAAGCAAGGGACUGUCUUCAUAUAACCAAGGAGCUGCAGUUCUGUGGAGUUAAAACCCCCAACUCAAAAGAUGGCCAAAAAGACUAGAAAAUGCCCCAUUCCCAUGAGCAACUCCUCUCAGGGCCUGAAAUCCCACCCCUUGGGCAACUAGAGAGGAACAGAUGUCUGCUCGGUGCAUGGAGCAGUUUGUAUCUGGGGAGGGGCCACAGAGGGCCCACAGGCUCCCUGUCCCGGGGGCGUGCACAGGUGACCUGUCCACCGCUGGCCGCUCUGGGAGGGAGGACCUGUGACAGGCUGUGGGCCACACUGAGAGCCCGGUUCAGAUGGCUCUGUGGGGACCCUGGCUGGGAGGGCGACAGCAGGUCCUGGGGACUGGGGGGCAUCCCGGGUUACCGUGCGGGCCAACGCUUCCAUUUUACUGAUAAGGACACAGAGGCCACCGGGGCACUGAGAUUGUGCGGUUGCAUAGCAGAUCAGGGUAGGGCAGGCCCAUGCCCCCAGCCUGCCGCCCGGCCCUAGCUUCUGCACAGGCUCUCUCUCUCUCUCUUUCUCUCUCUCUCUCUCUCACACACACACACACACACACACACAAACAUACACGCACGCACGCACAGCACCUGGGCGCACACACAGGUCCCCGUAGAGCCACUCAGGCCCUGCGGUCCUAGGAGGGUGGCGGUAGGUGCUCCUCAGUGGAGGCUCUUCCUUUCCCUGGCAGGAAGAUGGGGUCUGCCCUGGAGCAAGGAAAAGAAGGAGGGAGGGAAGGAGAAGCCAUUGCUUUGUGUAUUGUUCCUUGCCAGGAAGAUGAAGUAGCUUCUGGGAGCCAAUGAGGGCCCUUUGAGACCUGCAGCUGGCUGGCUGUCCCUCAAGGGGACGUCCUUCCCUUCCCUCCCCUGCCCCUCUCCGCAGGCAGUGGUGGCACCUGUGUGUAGCUGUGCGAUGCCAAGGGACAGGAUGGCACACCCAGAAGUGCCACCAGACACGCAACAUGGUCAGGCAGGGCCACAUUCCACACAGAGACACCCCCUCCCAACCCUGACACACAGAGACGACACCUGUGUGAUCAGGAUUCUCAGAGACAGGUGGGCCACUAGGGCCCAUACACGACUAGCUUGUCUGGGUGUCCACAUGGGCUGAGAGAGAGAGCAGAUAUUCUCGAAUUUGGGGUGCAGGGCUUUACUUAUUUUCCUUACAUCAAGCUUGGUAAUCAGGUGGCUCAAAUCCUCCCUGUUGGCGCUCUUUAUAUUGUCUGACUGCUUUAGUCUAUCUGUUUCUAAGAGAGGGGUCGGUAAACUCUUUCACGCUGGUGGAGGAUUGAUCAGAUUCGCCUUAAAACUGUCAAUUUUUGUCAUUUGGGGGAGGCUGUCUUGUUUGGUGCUUAUAGGUUUAGAAUUCAUGCAGCUCUUUGGUAGACUUUUCGUUCAAUUAUGAUGCAAUAAGCCUCUUAAUGUCUAAUGAAAAAGAAAAGGAGAGCAUCCCACCUGGACCCAUAGGAUCAGCCCCAGAUCCUGCAGAUACCAAUCUACAAAGAUCCACAGAGGCGGGCAAGGGCACGGCUACCCAGAGGUACCUGCACACAGGAACACCUAGGAAGGGGUGACACGAGGGACCCACUAAGGUCCUCCUCGCUGUGAGUGCUGAGUCCUGGAGGCAGUGGGCGAGCAGGGCAGGCUUCAAUGUCUCCCUUCCCCUGUUCUUCAAAACUGGAUGCUCAGAGUGCAGCCAGGCUUGGUUCUGGAACCUGCUGUUCCCCAAGGGUGGGACACCAGGGUGCCCAGGUUCUGAGUGGGGGCCCUGGGCCUAGGGAGCUACCUUGGUCAUUCUGCCCAUGGGCAGCAGGGAUGGGUCGAGGCGUACUGUCUAGAGAGGUUGGCCCUGCCAUGUACACAGCCCCUGCCCCCGCCGUGCUGGAGCCUGGGUCACACUGGCAGCUAUAGGGUCAUCUUCCACUCGCUCCUCAGUCCCAGCUAGGAACAGCCAGGUCCCUUGGCUGGACCUGUAGAUAGUCAGGAUCUUUGGCUGGGACAAGGAUCCUGGCUUGCUUUUCUUUUCUUUUUUUUUUUUUUUAUAUUUAUUUAUUCAUGAGAAACCCAGAGAGGGGGGGAGAGAGAGAGAGAGAGAGAGAGAGAGAGGCAGAGAUACAGGCAGAGGGAGAAGCAGGCUCCAUGCAGGGACCCUGAUGCGGGACUCCAUCCUGGGACUCCAGGAUCACGCCCUGGGCCGAAGGCAGGUGCUAAACUGCUGAGCCACCCAGGGAUCCCCAGAUCCUGGCUUUCUUAAUUCCUCCUGGGGACUCAGCCUCCUCAUCCAUUAUCUCACAGAGGCUUGCAUGGGCUGCCCCAUAAGACCCACAAAAACUAAUGACGGCCUGUGGCCUCCCAGCCAAAAAGCAAGUAAACCA